rnacentral:misc_RNA from 1 species
UUCACCUCCAAUUGGUCUCAUACUAAUUGAGGUUACACAUCUAAAGUUAUUGACUAAAAUGCAUACUGCCCUUAACUACCAUGCUUAAACACACAUCAAUUACACAUGUACCUUACUAUAUGUUCACUUCCCUUACCAUUUCUGUUUUGGUUCAUUACCAAAACCAUAUCCCACUUUACAUUAACAUCACUUUGGGCAGAUUACAAACAUCCUUAAUACACCAAUUAAAGCUCACAUUUACAAAGUCUAAAUACAAUCAUAUACACACCUAAACAUCACUAAUUCUUACACAAUCAAUCUUUACACAUAUCCAUCAAUUCUCAAGGUCAAUAUUCUGCCAAUACCUUCAUAAACAUAUACAUUUAUCCAAGAAUCUCAAGGCUGCCAAAAAUUUCCUCAACACCAAAGUAUCCCACAAUUCAUCAAUUUCCAUCCAAGUGCAAAAAUCACUAUAUACAUAUGAAGUAAUUUAUUAGGAUAUUAAAUCAUCAUAACCAACAACAUUUCUCAUCAAAUAUAUGCACAAUUAUUUCAUCAAUUACAUGACUCCAUGGCUGUCCAAAAUGAACAUCUCAAUAACUCUUCAAACUUAAAAAUUUUCUUCACAAAUUCAACACCCAUAACAUGCACACAAAACUUAACAAAGCUAUCUUCAAAAACACUAACUUACCUUAUGGUUGGAGCUUGUUAAACCUUGCUUAAACUUCUCAAAUUUGGUAUCAAACUCUUCCUUGUGAUGUGUAGACAAUUUUUCAUGAAGGAACCUAAGUGAUUGAAGUUGAAAUGGAGGGGUUGAUGGAGCUUGCAUGAAAAUGGAAAUGGAGGUUUUCUCUCCUCCUUCAAUUCGGCUUGGAUGAUAAAUGAAGAAGAUGAAGUUGCUGCUGGAUAUAGUGGACUUACAUCAGCCUCAUUUUGUGUUUAAUUUAUUCCUUUAGUGGCCCACUCACUCCAUUUAAUCAUAUAAUAAGCCUAAAUGUGUUAUUUACACAUUUUUCACUCCAUUUUUGGUUAUUUGUAUUAGGUACCCCCAAUUUAAUUUUUCAUUUUAUUUUCUAAGUGUAAUAUUAUUUAUUUUUAAUGGACAUUUAGGUCAAAAGACAAUUCGGGAUGUCAAAUGACCAUAAUGCCCCUGUUCGGGUUACGUUCCCGAUUUUUCGGUAACACCGUAUUUUGUCUGUUUUUCGAUUUCUCACUUUUCUUUGUACUAAUUAUUUAAUUUUUCUUUGAUCUUUCUAAUGAUAUUUAUUCUUCAACAAGAGUCUAUUUAAGUCCCAAAAAAUAUUUUCCAGGGUUUCCCGUGGUCCAAGGCUAGUCAACGGUCCA